GUACGCCCAGCAUGGGCAUGAACUAAUGAGGUGAAAGUCCUCUGUAGGAAGGUCACCGUUCGAUAACAUGCUGUUAUUAAACGUUAACUACUAGCGAAUGGCAAGGGCUUACCCGUGAGGGGCGGUCUGAAGGAAGCCGCUAGCAAAUUUGCGAGCUGAUGAACAAGAACAUCAUAUGAGGCGUAGGCUGAAGGUGAGUUGGCACAAGACGACGAAACCACGUGAUCUAACGGCCACCGUAAAUGAUGCAGCAGUGCAAAGAAAGUUCAUGUCCUUAUCUGGGGAGAUCUGCUUAGCAUGCGAUCGGUCAUUAACCAGUAAGGCUCUGGUCUACAAGUGUCUUGGCUUUUCAAUUUCAUCAACUGGAAAGAGCGAAUUAGAUGAAAACCGAUAGCGCAUGACGGGGCAACUCGGCAUGUGAUUAAGCAGAAGUCAGCAGACGGCAUAGUAGCCCAACGCCUAUCGUAAUGGAUGGGAUAUGGUGAAGGCCUGAACAUUUAGAAGAAGGAGGAGUCUUGCCAAACUUGUCGGUACUCACUACGUCGUCAGACGAUUACUAUCAACAGCGUAUUAGCCCGCAACCAGCCUUCAGCAGCAAUCUAUUUCCGCAACUACUCGAACCUGAGAAUCUACACCGAGCUUGGCGACAAGUGAAAGCCAAUAAAGGCGCGUCGGGUAUCGAUGGCAUGACCAUCGAAGCCUUCCCGCGCUGGAUGCAACAAGGCGGCUGGCAACAGUGUAAAUCUCAGCUUGAGCGAGGAGAAUAUCAACCCUCAGCGGUCAGGCGCGUGGAGAUCGAUAAACCCGAUGGCGGUAAACGCAAAUUGGGGAUCCCCACCGUGAUUGAUCGUGUGAUACAACAAGCAAUCGCUCAGAUACUCACGCCGUUGUUUGACCCCUACUUUUCAGUCAAUAGCUUCGGCUUUAGGCCGAACAGAAACGCCCAGCAGGCGGUACUACAAGUCAGGAAUAUCAUCAAACAGAAGCGCAAAUUUGCCGUUGAUGUUGAUCUGUCCAAGUUCUUUGACCGCGUCAACCACGAUCUGUUGAUGACUCAGUUAAGGAGUAAGGUGCAGGAUAAGCGUCUGCUAGCGCUUAUUGGCAAAUACCUGCGAGCGGGCGUCAUGGUCAACGACCAAUUUGAAGCAAGCUUCGAAGGUGUACCUCAGGGCGGCCCACUCUCACCCUUAUUAUCAAACAUCAUGCUGGAUAGUUUGGAUAAAGAAUUGGAAAGCCGAGGACAUCACUUCGCCCGCUACGCUGAUGACUUUAUCAUCUUGGUGAAGUCUCAACGGGCGGGAGAACGUGUUCUCAAGAGUAUUACUCAUUAUCUUGGUACGAAGCUAAAACUGAUCGUUAACGAGCAUAAAAGCCAAGUAGUUAAGGUAGGUCAAAGCAAGUUCCUUGGCUUCACCUUUAACCGAGGAAAGAUCCAAUGGCAUGCCAACACGUUGCACGUUUUCAAACAAAAGAUACGACGACUGACGAACCGCAAUUGGGGAGUCAGCAUGAGCUAUCAACUGUUUAAACUGCGGCAAUAUAUGCAAGGUUGGAUCAAUUACUUUGGCAUAGCCAACGCUUAUCAAGGUUGCGUCGAUUUAGACCACUGGAUCCGUCGCCGAGUGCGUAUGUGCUACUGGCGUCAGUGGCGAAAACCACGGACUAAGGUGCAGAACCUACUUAAACGAGGUGUCAGGAUCCAAGCUGCCGUUGCUUGUGGACUCACAAGUAAAGGCCCUUGGCGUAGUUCGAAAACGCCAGGCAUACAGCAAGCGCUGAGUAACGAGUACCUAGAGAAAGCUGGAUUGUAUUCACUAAGAGAUGGAUGGAUUGCAGUUCAUUAUCCUAGCCAAAUAACAGGUUAGGAGUUCUAAAUGAACCGCCCUGUGCGGAGCCGCAUGCAGGGUGGUGUGGGGGCUGGAGGCUAGAUACCUCCGGCUACCCGAU
rnacentral:autocatalytically_spliced_intron from 2 species